GUGUUUACUUAGCUGUCUUGCAUAUGGUCUGUUUUCCCCACUGCAGUGUCAGCUCCAUGAGGGCUGGGGCUUCCAGAUGAGUGCCUGGCAUAGGAAAUGCCCGGUACCUGCUGACCGGAAGAGGCCUUGCUCGAAGGCCUUCGUUUGGAUGGGGAAUUACCAGUUGGAAGCACUGAAAGUGCUAGAGGAGGAGAGCCUCUGCAUGGGAUCCUGCCCUGCCUUGGGUGUUGUAAUGGAAAGAACGAGUGAUAGUUGUUCAAAGCCAUCAGUUCAUACAGAAGAGGUGGAGCCUGAGGAACUCGGCCCCCGAUCCGUGGCCCCUCAGGGGAAGGCUCACACUGGGCCAGACAGAAACACCUGGUCCUCUGUACUUCAUCUCAGCAGUUGGAAUCUUUCUGCGGCAGAUUAGCUUGGAAAACAUCUCAAGCAAUAAAAAGAAGAGAAAGGAGA
rnacentral:lncRNA from 1 species